rnacentral:rRNA from 1 species
UUAGUCCUACGGGACGCAGCAGUGGGGGAUAUUGCACAAUGGGGGGAACCCUGAUGCAGCGACGCCGCGUGGGUGAAGAAGUAUUUCGGUAUGUAAAGCCCUAUCGGCAGGGAAGAAAUUGGACGGUACCUGACUAAGAAGCCCCGGCUAACUAUGUGCCAGCAGCCGCGGUAAUACAUAGGGGGCCAGCGUUAUCCGGAAUUAUUGGGUGUAAAGGGUGCGUAGACGGAAGAACAAGUUGGUUGUGAAAUCCCUCGGCUCAACUGAGGAACUGCAACCAAAACUAUUCUCCUUGAGUGUCGGAG